UAAGGAAUAUUGGUCAAUGGACGCAAGUCUGAACCAGCCAUGCCGCGUGAAGGAUGAAGGUCCUCUGGAUUGUAAACUUCUUUUAUCUGGGACGAAAACGGGAUUUUUAUCUCAAUUGACGGUACCAGAGGAAUAAGCACCGGCUAACUCCGUGCCAGCAGCCGCGGUAAUACGGAGGGUGCGAGCGUUAUCCGGAUUUACUGGGUUUAAAGGGUGCGUAGGUGGGCUUAUAAGUCAGUGGUGAAAUCUCCGAGCUUAACUUGGAAACUGCCGUUGAUACUAUAGGUCUUGAAUUAUCUGGAGGUAAGCGGAAUAUGUCAUGUAGCGGUGAAAUGCUUAGAUAUGACAUAGAACACCAAUUGCGAAGGCAGCUUACUACAUAUAAAUUGACGCUGAGGCACGAAAGCGUGGGGAUCAAACAG
rnacentral:rRNA from 1 species